rnacentral:tRNA from 1 species
GGAGAGCUAGUCCUAAUUGGUAAGGCAGCGGACUUGAAAUCCGCCUCCCAGUAAUGGGAAUGUGGGUUCGAAUCCCUCGCUCUCCG